GCCGAUGUAGCUCAGUGGCAGAGCAGCCGCCUCGUAAGCGGCAGGCCGUGAGUUCGAAUCUCACCAUCGGCU
rnacentral:tRNA from 1 species